ensembl:lncRNA
GAAAUAAUGUGUUCAAUGUACUUCUUAUCACAUUAUUGGAAGUUGUUGUAAACGAACCUCCUGCUUUUUCUUCAUUGUUGCUGCUGCUGCUGCUACUAAGUCGCUCCAGUCGUGUCUGACUCUGUGCGACCCCAUAGACGGCAGCCCACCAAGUUCCCCUGUCUCUGGGAUUCUCCAGGCAAGAACACUGAAGUGGGUUGCCAUUUCCUUCUCCAAUGCAUAAAAGUGAAAAGUGAAAGUGAAGUCUCUCAGUCAUGUCCGACUCUUAGCGGCCCCAUGCACUGCAGCCCACCAGGCUCCUCUGCCCAUGGGAUUUUCCAGGCAAGAGUGCUGGAGUGGGUUGCCAUUGCCUUCUCCGUUUCUUCAUUGUUUAGCGAACUUAAUUCUAAGGAAUUGCUCUCAGAACUUCUGCUACUAAAGUCUUUUUCAGUGGUCUUCAGCCUUUAUUUGAAAAAUGUGAGAGAAAAGUGGAUACCGGAGAUAAUUCACCAUUGUUUGAAGACUCUUCAUUGGAACCAAAAUUGAUCUCAGAAAUGGGAUACCCUCUAUUAUCGAGAAACUUUUCAAAAACAGAAAUGUCUCACUCCUCAGACUGCUGAAAUGCCUCACUCCUCAGACUGCUGAAAUGCCUGUGACCUGAAGGCUGUCAAAUACAUGGAGUGUUUCACACAGAAAAACCUAAAGGAUGCAUUUGACAAAGCACUAUUGACUGCCUCAGAGACUGUGGAACUGAAGAAAAGCCAUAGGCAGAGGUGCCCACUGGGCUUUUGGACACAGCAUUUUCCCAACGUCACUGCCUGGUAUACUCUAUUUGAGGGAAAAUUAUCAACCUGUUAUUGAGUGCUGGUGGACACUGAGAAGCCAACUAAGUAAGUAAUAACAUGAUAUGUUAUUCUCUGACAUGCCCAUUCUGGAAUAG